rnacentral:lncRNA from 1 species
CUCUCACUCCCUCAUUCUCUCUCCCCAAAAGGGGUGUUAACUAAUCGUAUGCAGACAUCUCCUCCAGAGCCUCGCACACUAUCCAGCUGGAAAGGAGGGAGCCAGGAGUGCAGGACUGGGACAGGGGGAGUUUCUCUGAGAGAAUCAGGGCUUCCUUCUAUCCUUACCCCCCACCCCUUCCCUGGAUGGAGUUCCGCUGGGCUAGAGGAGCUGGGGUGGGUGUGCGGGGAUCCUCUCAGCUCCGGAGAGCCUUCAGUGAGCAUGUCAAGGAUUCCACCAGCAGAGCCUGGGAGGUGUUCUGGAAGAGGGCAAGGGAGCGGAGGCUAACAGCUGGGGGAUUGGAUUUGAUGGCCUCUAAGAUCUUGUCCAGCUCAAAAUCCACGACCUUGCGUGUGUGACCUGCAUGUUUCCUAGCAGCAAAGCAAAUGGACUUUGGUCGGCUGAACGUUUUCCUGCAUCUUUGUGAGGAUAGAUAUGGCAUUUGCUUAUGCCCUGGGAAAGUGGGGCUCUCAUCCAGGGGGGCUCCCAGAGGCGACUCUCCCCACCCAGCCUGGAAGGAGGGGAAGUGGAGGGCAGACAGCUGCGUUCCCUGGUCUGCAUGCAGUACAACAUCUGGGCUCUCAGUACAGCCAGAGCAGCAGCGUUGGAGGGCUCUGAGCGGGGCAGUGUCUGACCAGCCCUCCGAGCCUGGUCCCCCAAUGGAAGGUAGGAAGCAUCUGCAGUUCAGAUUCCAAGUCUGAGGGAGCAUUGGCAUAUGGGGGCAUGGUAGGGGUGAGGGAUAACCAUGUGGGGAAUACCGUGAAGGUUAUGGAGAUGGACUCUGGGAAAUACAAGAGAACAGAGAAAAUG